UCAGAAUUCUAAAGCCGACCCUUAUUUGACUGUGUAUUUAAUAAUUGCUGCUUUUCCUGCUGCUGAGAGUUGGUACAAUUUUAUAAAAGGCAUUUUCCAUCUCUGAAAGGAUCCUUUCAGAAUUCUAAAGCCGACCCUUAUUUGACUGUGUAUUUAAUAAUUGCUGCUUUUCCUGCUGCUGAGAGUUGGUACAAUUUUAUAAAAGGCAUUUUCCAUCUCUGAAAGGAUCCUUUCAGAAUUCUAAAGCCGACCCUUAUUUGACUGUGUAUUUAAUAAUUGCUGCUUUUCCUGCUGCUGAGAGUUGGUACAAUUUUAUAAAAGGCAUUUUCCAUCUCUGAAAGGAUCCUUUCAGAAUUCUAAAGCCGACCCUUAUUUGACUGUGUAUUUAAUAAUUGCUGCUUUUCCUGCUGCUGAGAGUUGGUACAAUUUUAUAAAAGGCAUUUUCCAUCUCUGAAAGGAUCCUUUCAGAAUUCUAAAGCCGACCCUUAUUUGACUGUGUAUUUAAUAAUUGCUGCUUUUCCUGCUGCUGAGAGUUGGUACAAUUUUAUAAAAGGCAUUUUCCAUCUCUGAAAGGAUCCUUUCAGAAUUCUAAAGCCGACCCUUAUUUGACUGUGUAUUUAAUAAUUGCUGCUUUUCCUGCUGCUGAGAGUUGGUACAAUUUUAUAAAAGGCAUUUUCCCUCUCUGAAAGGAUCCUUUCAGAAUUCUAAAGCCGACCCUUAUUUGACUGUGUAUUUAAUAAUUGCUGCUUUUCCUGCUGCUGAGAGUUGGUACAAUUUUAUAAAAGGCAUUUUCCAUCUCUGAAAGGAUCCUUUCAGAAUUCUAAAGCCGACCCUUAUUUGACUGUGUAUUUAAUAAUUGCUGCUUUUCCUGCUGCUGAGAGUUGGUACAAUUUUAUAAAAGGCUUUUUCCAUCUCUAAAAGGAUCCUUUCGGAAUACUAAAGCCGGCCCACAUUUGACUGUUUUUUUUAAUAAUAACUGCUGCUGCUGCUGAGUGUUGGUACAAUUUUCUCAAAGACAUUUUCCAUCUCUGAAAGGAUCCUUUCAGAAUUCUAAAUCCGGCCCUUAUUUGACUGUGUAUUUAAUAAUUGCUGCUUUUGCUGCUGCUGAGAGUUGGUACAAUUUUAUAAAAGGCAUUUUCCAUCACUGAAAGGUUCCUUUCUGAUUUAUAAGUCUGUGCUUUGUUUGUCUGUGUAUUUAAAAAAUUGAGGAGCACUGACUACAAGUGCUUCGUUUCUGUACUGCUGGAGUUUUCGUUUCUGUACUGCUGGAGUUGUGCUGAGAACAGGAUCCUUUCUGAUUUCUAAGUCUGGCCUUUGUUUGUCUGUGUAUUUACAAAAUUAAGGAGCACCAACUAGUCUACAAAUGCUUCAUUUCUGUACUGCUGGAGUUGUGCUAGAAACGGGAAGAUACUUUCAGAUUUGCUAAAUCUGGCCUUUGUUUGACUGUUUAUUUACAAAAUUAAGAGCAACAAUUACAAAUGCUUUGUUUAUGGACUACAAAUUAAUCUACAGACUGCUGAUGGAACUGAGCUGAAAACAAAUCAGUUUCUGUAUUUUUCGAAAAAUGCUGCUUACUGCUGCUGCUGACAAUAUUCUUCCAUCUCUAUAUAAAAAUAAUUAUUCAUGCCAAUUAUUGGUGUUGUGGGGAGGAUUGUGGAGAAUUUUUUCAAGUGUUUAUUGAUUAUUAAAAAUAAAAUAAUAUAUAAAUACUAAGAA